rnacentral:rRNA from 1 species
CCUCUUGUUCGGGAUAACUGCUGGAAACGGCAGCUAAUACCGGAUAAGCUCCCCCAAUUGUAUGGGGAGGAAAGGAGGCCUCUUCAUGAAAGCUUCCGCGAGGGGAUGAGUCCGCGUCCCAUUAGCUAGUUGGUGAGGUAACGGCCCACCAAGGCAACGAUGGGUAGCCGGUCUAAGAGGAUGACCGGCCACACUGGAACUGAAACACGGUCCAGACUCCUACGGGAGGCAGCAGUGGGGAAUAUUGCGCAAUGGACGAAAGUCUGACGCAGCGACGCCGCGUGAGGGAUGAAGGUUUUCGGAUCGUAAACCUCUGUCAGGAGGGAAGAAAGCGCAUGGCGCCAAUCAGCCAUGCGUUGACGGUACCUCCAAAGGAAGCGCCGGCUAACUCCGUGCCAGCAGCCGCGGUAAUACGGAGGGCGCGAGCGUUAAUCGGAAUUACUGGGCGUAAAGCGCGCGUAGGCUGUUGUGUAAGUUGGGGGUGAAAUCCCACGGCUCAACCGUGGAACAGCCCUUGAUACUGCGCGACUUGAAUCCGGGAGAGGGUGGCGGAAUUCCAGGUGUAGGAGUGAAAUCCGUAGAUAUCUGGAGGAACAUC